CCUACGGGACGCAGCAGUGGGGAAUAUUGGACAAUGGGCGAAAGCCUGAUCCAGCAAUGCCGCGUGUGUGAAGAAGGUCUUCGGAUUGUAAAGCACUUUCGACGGGGACGAUGAUGACGGUACCCGUAGAAGAAGCCCCGGCUAACUUCGUGCCAGCAGCCGCGGUAAUACGAAGGGGGCUAGCGUUGCUCGGAAUGACUGGGCGUAAAGGGCGCGUAGGCGGUUUAUGCAGUCAGAUGUGGAAUUCCCGGGCUUAACCCGGGAACUGCAUUUGAGACGCAUAGACUAGAGGUCGAGAGAGGGUUGUGGAAUUCCCAGUGUAGAGGUGAAAUUCGUAGAUCUUGGGAGGAACACCGGUGGCGAAGGCGGCUUACUGGUCUGCAACUGACGCUGAGGCGCGAAAGCGUGGGGAGCAAACAGGAUUAGAUACCCGGGUAGUC
rnacentral:rRNA from 1 species